UACUGGCACAAGGCUUGGUAUUUACUUUUACCAAAACGUAAAACUCCACAUGCAGAUUGAGACACCUGGCUCUGCAGCAUCCAGGCUCAUUUACAAUACAAUUGCGCCUUCUACCAAGGUUGGCAUUGCUGGUGCAGCAACAUUCGUGUUCAUUGUUUUGAUUUGUCAUAAUAUCUGGCUGAAGAAGAAUGAGGUAAGAGAAUGACAAUUGAAGCUUGAACCCACUGCUUUUGAAACACAGCUUUGAGAAGACGGCCUGGUCUCUGGCACAUGAAACUAGGCCUCUGAAGAGAAGUUUCAUCUAUGAAAAAUUCACCCAACACAUAAAAUAUAACCCAUAUUAUUUAAAUCUCCCUUAAUCAAGUAUAAUAAAUACUCUACAAAAUUAGAGCAUGAUGAAAUUCAAGGUUGAAAAGUAAUGCAUUUGGUCAUUUUUCAUUUUCUAUCCCAUUACGGUGACUAUUGUGGAUGGGAGAAUAUUAAUUCCUCAGAAGCCAACAGUCCAUUCAGUCCAAGAGACAACUUGGUGUUUGCUGCUAUAUGAUCAUGAACAGAAGGAUCCGCUUUCUGCUUGGAUGUUGGUGGGGCAUGUAAUCCUGGUCACGGCUACAAUAGCUUUUACUUUUCAACCCCUCACUGUUUGUAGAAGAUGGGAUUUAGUAUUUUGUUGGGGUAUCAGAGGGAACAUAAACUUUGAACUUUUAAAAAGUGC